CCUACGGGAGGCAGCAGUGGGGAAUAUUGCACAAUGGGGGAAACCCUGAUGCAGCGACGCCGCGUGAGUGAGGAAGUAUUUCGGUAUGUAAAGCUCUAUCAGCCGGGGAUAAAAUGACGGUACCUGACUAAGAAGCCCCGGCUAACUACGUGCCAGCAGCCGCGGUAAUACGUAGGGGGCAAGCGUUAUCCGGUUUUACUGGUGGUAAAGGGAGAGUAGACGGUUAAGCAAGUCAGAAGGGAAAACUCAGGGCUCAACCUUGGGACUGCUUUUGAAACUGAGUAGCUAGAGUGCAGGAGAGGUAAGAGGAAUGCCUAGUGUAGCGGUGAAAUGCGUAGAUAUUAGGAGGAACACCAGUGGCGAAGGCGGCUUACUGGACUGUAACUGACGUUGAGGCACGAAAGCGUGGGGAGCAAACAGGAUUAGAUACCCCAGUAGUC
rnacentral:rRNA from 1 species